rnacentral:rRNA from 1 species
AUUGAACGCUGGCGGCAGGCCUAACACAUGCAAGUCGAGCGGAGCGGCGGACGGGUGAGUAAUGCCUAGGAAUCUGCCUGGUGGUGGGGGAUAACGUCCGGAAACGGGCGCUAAUACCGCAUACUCUCAGAUUGGCCUAGGUCGGAGUCGCUGGUGGGGGGGGUAAAGGCCUACCAAGGCGACGAUCCGUAGCUGGUCUGAGAGGAUGAGCAGGCACAAUGGAACUGAGACACGGUCCAGACUCCUACGGGAGGCAGCAGUGGGGAAUAUUGGACAAUGGGCGAAAGCCUGAUCCAGCCAUGCCGCGUGUGUGAAGAAGGUCUUCGGAUUGUAAAGCACUUUAAGUUGGGAGGCGGUACCAACAGAAUAAGCACCGGCUAACUUCGUGCCAGCAGCCGCGGUAAUAC